GUCUGUAGGAAAAUUUUAAUAUUAUUUUCACAUAUUUGUUGAGCAUGCGACUAACAGCAAAAGUAGGCGAGAAACUGGGUUCCGCAAAACCCUUACAAUUUUAAAUCUGAAUACAUGCGUAACCUAUCUCCAGCUAGGGGUUGAAUUGAAACCGAAUUGAAGGUCACAUUAAUACGUAUUCAAUGAGGUCCAAUAAUUCACUUACAAGUGCACAACUCAUCAACCAGGUUUCUCAGCUUAUUUUAGUAAAAAAACCAAAAACAUAUUUUUUUUUGUAUAUCUUGUAGCUAAUGCUCCUAUAACAAAAAGGUACAUUUUAGGCUGGUCCCUUUUUGAGAGUACUCACUGAUCUUCUAUAGUUGGUAUUACCAUAACUUUUGAUCAGCUGACCAUAUUACAACACUGUUUUAACAGUUAGUAAAUAGGUGUAAAAAUUCAUUUUAAAAUUAGUAAUUACUGGUAAUAACUGGUCUGUUUCAGGAAUUACUUGUAUUUACUAAGUGC
rnacentral:lncRNA from 1 species